GGGUGGGACAGCAUGUUUUAAAUUUUAGAUAGGAAGCCAAGAAAAGUAACUUCAGACUUGGAACAAAGUGAUAAGGGAGCCAGUCAUGCAGGGAGUCAGUCAUGCUCUGAGGAGGAGCACCUCAUUCAGAAGGAAAACCAAGUGCAAGGCUCUGAGAUGGGGGCACGCCUGGACAGUCCAUAGGAACAGCAAGGAGGAUAGUGUGGCCAGAGCAGAAUGAACGAGAACAGUAAGAUAUUGUGUGGGGACGUGUAAAGACUUUGGCUUUAACUCUCAGAUGGGAAACCACUGAAAGAAUUUAGAGUAGAGGAGUGAUAUAAUCUGACUUUUAUUUUAACAGGAUCACUCUGGCUGCUAGGGGAAGAGAGCCUGAAGGGCGAUAAGGGCUGGAGUGAGAUCAGUUAAGAAGCUAAUUCAAUAAUCUGGAUAAGAGAUUAAGAUGAAGACACCACUACAAGUAUGUGCCUGCAAGCCAGCCAACUGAUUAAUAACAGCAAAGUCCCUAAGACAGCACCUGAUGUGGCCUGUUGGAAG